GCAGGAUUGCUAUAUGGGAUUGCCCAUGGACAAUUCUGGUAAUCCAGAGUUUCUAAUAGACUUCACCUUUUCCCGGAAAACAUUUAACACAGAGUAAACCAACUGAUCAUGAGGCACCGGAGACUAUGUAAUGUAUGACAAGAAGUUGGAUAGAAUGUCACAGCUGCCUUGAUGUCUUCAUCACUACAAAACCACUCUCCAUGGAGAGAUUUCUUCAAAACUCAGAACAGGAAAUAAUCUGAGAGAUCCAGGUCACGACCGUGGGGUGGAUGGUUGAGCUGCUGAAACCCACAUUCUAGGAUGGUAGCCUGUGAUUGACGUAACAUUUGAACCAACUCAUUGUUGUGAAGAACCAUGACACCUGCUAUCACCCUGCAGGUCUUACAGCCAGACUGAGACAAUGACAGCUGUGGUCUCUCUCUCUCCAGCUCUCUUCCCAACCGCCAUCCUUUGGCAUUCUCCAGGAAACUGUAAGGAAAACUGAAGAAAAUAAUACCCGUAAUUUCCGGGUUUCAAAAUGGUCACCAUAACAUCACUUCCGGCAACUCCAUUUUUCAUUACUUCUUCCUGUCACCAUGGACAUCACUUUCUGUUCCUGCCAACCAGAUCCUGUUACCAUAAUGCAUUUCUCUAUAAAAACGUCAUCUUGCCAUAUACACUUUGUCAUCUGUUACUGUAUUCCAGUGUUUUUGAUCGAUUUUG